CAUAUUAAUUUUCUUUCUACUGAAAUAAUAUUUCUCCCUCUUCCUCUCUACUUAGCUUUGUUGUUGCUCUACAAUGGUGAGCCUAGAUUGAACAAUUGCAUGCAAAUCUACAUGGUAUGAGAGUCUCACAACCACGAUUGUGAGUUUAUUAGAGAAGUUUUGUGAAGGUUCGAACUCAUUGAUGGUUUAUCACACCUCAACAAUGGCGGCAAUUGUGAAGUUCGAUCACAAUCAUGUUCUGUAUCUACACUCUCCUGAAACCACCAUAGAUUUGAUCAUUCCAAUGCAGCUAAUAGGAUCUGAUAAUUACUCCAUCUGGAGCAGGGCUAUGUGUAUCAAUUACUUGAAAAAUACAAGCUAGGAAUCGUGGAUAGAACCUUGAAAAGGGAGGUUUUCGGAGUCCAACUAAGGCAUCACUGGGAUCGACGGAAUGUAGUUGUUAAAGGAUGGACAAUGAGCUCGAUUACACAGGAUUUACAUAUAGGAAUUGUUUAUUCCACAAGAACAAAUGCAGUUUGGAAGGAUCUUCAUGAGCGAUUCGAUAAGGUUAAUGCCUCUUGAAUUUUUCAGUUACAUAAGUCUAUUAUACUAGUGUACGUGGGAGUGAUAGUAUACCUAAUUAUUUCUUGAAGUUACACAAUUUGUCGGAUGAAUUUGCUAGUAUAGUACCACCACCAUGUAAUUGCCCUAGAUCUAGGGAGUUUGGUGCACAUAUGGAGAGACAAAAAAUUAAUGCAAUUCUUAACGGGUCUGAAUGAAACUUAUGAACAAUCGAGGAGUCAAAUUUUGAUGAUAGAACCUAUGUCAAACAUUAACAAAGCAAAUGCUAUAUUUUCUAAGCGGAAGAGUGAAAGAUCCUUUGACAAUUCUUCAAUGAGUAGAGAAGGUUCAAAGUUAAUGACUCUUUUGGCAGAGAGAAAGGUGAACUAUCGAUCCAUGAAUGGGGAAGAUACUAGCUAUCAUUCCACAAGAGGUGAUGGUACAGAUCUAGCUAUUGCUUAUGUAGCCGGAAAAGGAAUGAGUUAUCCAUCUAAUAAAGGUGCAACUUUUUAGUAUUAUCAGAAACAAAAAAAGAAUUGGGGCCAGCAAUGUGAUUUCUUAUACAAACUACAAGGCCAUGUGAUGGAUGAUUGCUUUAGGUUGCAUGGUUAUACACCUGACUGGAAAUCCAAAAAAAAAGGGAAUGGCAACACUGCUUAUCAUGUACAAGCUGAGAACUCUACCUCACAAUCACAGUUAGGAACAGACAAAGAAAAGCUACCAAAAAAUAUGCUUACAAGGGGCCUACCAAGGGCACCUCUGAUGACAUGUGAAUAACAUGACCAGAUAUUGCUCAUGCUUAACAAGGAUCCCUCACAAACUAACACAAUGGCUAACACGGAAGGUAUGACAGGUAUAACCUAAAGUUCUACAACUAGAAUAGAAAAAUUGAAGUGGAUAAUUAAUAGUGGUGUAACAAACCAUAUGGCUUCAAGUUUAGAUGUUUUGCAUGAUGUGCAAACUAUUGAAUCAAACCAUAAUAGGAAAUUUCAUUUACCUAAUGGAGGUGUAACAUUAGUAACUCAUACUGGAUGCUGUAAAAUCACAGACAAGAUAAUUAUAUGAGGUUCUGUUUGUGCUAGAAUUUUAGUAUAACCUUUAAUUUUUAUCAAAGGUUACCAGAGAACUCCACUGUUUAGGGUCAUUUUAUCUUUUUUGUUUAUUCCAGAACCUUUCUAUAGUAAACUGAAGAGGAUUGGUAAGGAGGAUGAUAUCUCUACCUCCUAGUUCCAUAAGGAUCUUCUAAACCUGAUUGUACUGUUGCUGACAAUACUAAAGUGGUCAAUGGACAUGGUGAUAAAGAUAAUAUAGUAUUGUAAAUUAGUUCUAAGCAGUUGUGGAAUUUUUCCACUAGAUAGACAUACUAGACUUUCAUUUCCUAGUAGUAAUAGUAUAUCUAAUAAGGUGUUUGAAUUGUUACAUUUCGAUGUAUGGGGCCUUACAGUAUACAUACAUUUGAUGAAAGGAACUUUUCCUCACUAUUAUUGAUGAUUUUUGAAGGAUCACUUGGAUUUUCUUGUUAAAAUUCAGAAGUGGUGUGUUUUGACUCUUAAGAAAUUUUUAAAAAUGGUUCAUGUUAAGUUUAAUGCCACAUUUAACGUUAUCAGGACAAAUAAUUGAGGGGAAUUCAUAGGUAAUCAAUCACAUAUGGGAUUUAGUUAAAGAGAUGGGAAUCAUUCACUAUAUAACAUGUGCACAUACUUAAGGUAGAAAGAGCUUUCAGGUUCUAAGGUCACAUAGCACUCAAAUUUUGGGGACAUUGUGUCCUUGCAGAAGCUUAUAUCAUUAAUAGAUUUUAAUCACAUGUUUUUGAGGAAAAAUAUCCUUAUGAGGUGUUUUUUAGGAAGAAACUAUGUCUCACGCACUUAGGACACUUGUUGAUUGUGUUUUGCUAGAAUAUUACCCAAAACUAAUAAAUUUGCACCCAACGCAAUGAAGUCAGCCUUCAUGGCUUAUUCCAGUGUCACUAAGGGGUAUAUCCUAUUUGAUCUUGACAAAGUUUUCUAUAAAUAAAGAUGUGGCAAUUCGUGAAAGUCAUUUUCCUUUUAUUGAUGGUUCUUCUACUGCAACUAUGCCUAAUAUUUUUUUUACCUCUCCUGUGACUUAUGCUUCUAAUGAUCUUUCUGUAGAUGACUCUGGCUCAGAUGUUACUCUGCCAGUUGAUAUUUCUGCUGAAAUACCUUCUUCAAUACCUGAUGUGUCCAUACUAGAGUUCCAACUUAGUCUCUUCUUCUCAGAAGUUCUAACAGGACAACAAAUAGCCUCUUCGGUUAUCAGAGUUUGUCUCUAAGCUUUCUGCUAGCAGUGUUCCGUACUCUAUUGUAGACAAUUUAUCUUAUGAUCAUCUCUCAAUUCCUUAUCAAAAGUACUUAACCAUUUUCUUUGCUAUACAAGAACCUACAUCUUAUCGUGAAGCUUUAUCAGAUGCUAAAUGGUUAGAGGCAAUACAAUCUGGGUAGAAGAUACUUCCAGCUAAUCACCCAAAAAAUUAGUACCUCUUCUUAAAGGUAAGACUCCUAUUUGUUGCAAGUGGAUUUACAAAGUCAAGUUGAAAGUAAAUGGUGAGGUAGAAAGGUUUAAAGCUAGGUUGGUGGCAAAAGGGUAUAAUCAGAGAGGAGGUCUUGAUUUUCAUAAGCCUUUCCUCUAGUAGUUAAAAUUUCUACUGUAGGGAUUGGCCUUUCUUUGGCUGCUCAGUAUAAUUGGCAUAUCCAUCAGUUAGAUGUAUAUAAUGUUGUAAGACCCCGUAAGAUCCUAACUCGUUUCAUCUCACUCUUGCAUGUUAAAGGGGUCCAAGACUUAGAAAAUUUCACCAAGUGUUAAGACUUAAUCAUUUUCAAAGCCCCUUAAACUUUGAUGAUUUUAAUUACAACCUUCAUGGUCUUAGAACGUUAAUUUUUGAGUUGAUUUAUGAUUGGAGUGGUCGAUAGCAUGUCUUGGGUAAGUUUUGAAUUUUUUCGGACGAGGUUUUAGGCUUUUUUGGAUGUUCCAAUCAGCGAGUCAGCGCGAUAGGGCCGCGGCGCGCUACUUAUUGCAUUGGUGGGGUGCAAUGCAACGCGUCGCCUGACGCGUCAACUAAGCGAUGCGACGCGUCGCUUACGACAUCACUGGCCACAUUUCAGCUUAAUUAAUUUCUAGUCCAGGAGGGUAUUUCAGUCUUUUUCCCUCACUUUACCUCAACCAUAACACGAGAUUAAAGCCCCCAAAAGUAUAUUUGGUCAUCUUUUAGUCAAAUUCUCUCAAUUGGAAACUAUUCUUUCUCAAGAACAAAAGCUAACCCCUUCAAGAUUCAGGUCAAGUUUCAAGAAAACCAUUAAGAACCUUCACGAAUUCUUCAAUUAAGGUUUAGACGCUCAGGUUCCUCUCGCACCUAGACCACCUAGCGCAUCAGCAGCAAUAGCAGUGGUGAGUCUUUAUAUUCCGAGGAUCAUUUAUAGUUAUUUCAAUGCUUCAGUUCAGUAGCCAGUCGGAGUUAGUUGGGGACUUGUCCCAUUAACUACAUAGUCAGUCAGUUAGAGGCUUUCAGACAGUUAGUAAGUUAUCAAUUGUUUUGACAGUCUUUACAGUAUUGUGUUCAGACUAUUAUUUUUAGGCUUAUAAUUUCAGAGAUGUUUUAGCAGUUAAGCCUUAUGGCAUUUUCAUUUUUCUGCAUAUGUGUAUCAUUUGUUAUUAGUUUAUUCAGUGUUCACAACAGGUACCAGCUCAUGGGUUGGCUUGGGGUCACUUUUGUGGCCGUAAGCACCGUGUGGCUCUAGGGUAUACUCACUCCCGGUGCAUUACAAAUGUCUUCUUGCAUGGUGACUUGCAUGAUGAAGUAUACAUGCAGUUUCCAAAGGGUUUCAAAGUCAAGGGGAGUCUGGUCGUGUAUACAGACUUGUCAAAUCCCACUAUGUAUUUAAACAAGCAAAUAGACAAUGGAAUUUGAAACUGAUAGAGGCAUUAUUAUAAUCUGUUUUUAUUCAAAGUAGCUUGGAUUACUCAUUAUUCAUUAAAGAGACGAGGAUCAUACGUAGUGUUGAUACUUGUUUAUGUA